rnacentral:tRNA from 1 species
GCCUUCGUGGUGUAAUGGUCAGCCCACUCGACGCGUAUUCGAGAGGUCCGAGGUUCGAGUCCCGGUGAGGGCA